rnacentral:lncRNA from 1 species
CUUUGGUCCUGUUCUGGGGAGCUCACAUGUGAGCCAGGUGUAAUUACAGCCCUCUCAGCCAGCACUGGUGGGAUCUGUGCUGGGACACCUGCGAGCUGGAACGUGUCUCACAGGUUGGAAAAAGUGCUUUAUAGCUACAUGAAAGGGACUGUGCCUAAGCCUGGAAUUACUGACAUCUGUGUAUCAUUUCAGUGGUAAAUUACAGCUGGGACAUGCUAACCCCAAAGUACAAUAAAGAUCCCAGAUACCAUCA